rnacentral:rRNA from 1 species
AGUGAACGCUGGCGGUAGGCCUAACACAUGCAAGUCGAACGGCAGCACAGUAAGAGCUUGCUCUUACGGGUGGCGAGUGGCGGACGGGUGAGGAAUACAUCGGAAUCUACUUUUUCGUGGGGGAUAACGUGGGGAAACUUACGCUAAUACCGCAUACGACCUACGGGUGAAAGCAGGGGAUCUUCGGACCUUGCGCGAUUGAAUGAGCCGAUGUCGGAUUAGCUAGUUGGCGGGGUAAAGGCCCACCAAGGCGACGAUCCGUAGCUGGUCUGAGAGGAUGAUCAGCCACACUGGGACUGAGACACGGUCCAGACUCCUACGGGAGGCAGCAGUGGGGAAUAUUGGACAAUGGGCGCAAGCCUGAUCCAGCCAUACCGCGUGGGUGAAGAAGGCCUUCGGGUUGUAAGGCCCUUUUGUUGGGAAAGAAAAGCAGCAGGUUAAUACCCCGCUGUUCUGACGGUACCCAAAGAAUAAGCACCGGCUAACUUCGUG